ensembl:processed_transcript Eldr Egfr long non-coding downstream RNA
GUGAGGCCGCCGAAGGUUUGCGCGCCAAGGCUCUCUCUCCCCAGGGGACUCUGCAACCUGUCUAGGUGCUCCUUCCCUGCCGUGUGUGCUUGACAAAGCAUAGUAACAUUCCAGGGAGCUGCCUGGGGAAGCUUAACUCUCGAUGCAAGGGGUAGGAAUGUAUCAUGGUGGGAGAGUCAUGACAGCAGGCAGCUGGAACAGGACACUAAGUAAUAACAUCAUCAACUACAAGCAGAAGUCAAGGAGAACUGAAAGCGGGUCCCUGAAGUCAGCUCUGGAAAACUGAGAAGAGCGCUGCGUGCAGAAUGCUUCGCUGGAUGUUUUUUUCUUUAUUCUCACAGACAACUGGAACCUUGAGAGCCAAGGGAGAUUGUGGAGAGGAUGUGAGCAGAUGGCCGCUGAGGAUAGCUGACCGGGUGGGCUGGAACCUAGGCCAGGACCUGCCACCUGAGGAUUGUGCCUGCGAUGUCCAUAUGAUUGUGAACAGCCAAACAGGGAGCUCUGCUCUGUUGAAAAUCAUAAAGUUGAAAAUGAAAAGAGAUAAAGCCUUAAGCACAGAAGAAUAUUUUGUCUUUGGUGAAAAGAACAACUUA